GGGGGAUAUUGCACAAUGGAGGAAACUCUGAUGCAGCGACGCCGCGUGAGGGAAGAAGGUCUUCGGAUUGUAAACCUCUGUCUUUGGGGACGAAGAAAGUGACGGUACCCAAAGAGGAAGCCACGGCUAACUACGUGCCAGCAGCCGCGGUAAUACGUAGGUGGCGAGCGUUGUCCGGAAUUACUGGGUGUAAAGGGUGCGUAGGCGGACUGGCAAGUUGGAUGUGAAAUCUCCGCGCUUAACGUGGAGGUUGCAUUCAAAACUGUUUGUCUUGAUGGAGGCAGAGGCAGGCGGAAUUCCCGGUGUAACGGUGAAAUGCGUAGAGAUCGGGAGGAACACCAGUGGCGAAGGCGGCCUGCUGGGCCUUAACUGACGCUGAGGCACGAAAGCAUGGGUAGCAAACA
rnacentral:rRNA from 1 species